UAAAAUGCAAAAGAGAAGGGUAAAUAGAGAAAUUCGGAAGUCUCUUUUUUGUUGGCCCUCCGUCUUUUCCUUUUUCUUUGCUUUUCUCUUUUCCUUUCUUUCUUCCUUUUUCUUU
rnacentral:ribozyme from 13 species